AACAGAGUAGAUGAGCCAUUUACCGAAACUCAUAUUGAACUUCAGAAUACCAAGAAGGUGGAAAAAAACAUGGAUAAAGACUUGGUCUGGAAUCUGCUCCUACAUUCGCCUCACAGAUGCACGGAACCUUAUUAAGGCCUCACUCCAAGAAGACACGGGAAAACUACCACUCUGAGACAAUGCUGUGAUGCCCUCUACUGAUACCAGCAGCAAUCAAAGAUGGGUGGUAUGUCCUCUUUCUUCAUGUCACCAGAUGGGAUGGCUACUUUGUGGAAAAAUGGAGAGAAGAGAAGACUACAGUGAUGGGACCAGGAAACAGGAUAUCUGUGGUCAGAAGUUGCCUCUUAGGACUAAACCAGUGAAAGAUGGGAAAAUCCAUGAUGGAAGCUUGCUUGAACUCUGAAGAAACACUGGCUUCUUUGUAAUCCAAUUUCCAUAUUAAAUGACAGUCCAGCCAGUACCAUGAAAGUUGAAAAUCACCAUGACAAUGACAAGAAGAGACCAAAAAAGGGCAGAAAAGGGGCUCCUUGAUUCCAGGGAAAUCUUCAACCCUCCUUGAUUCCAGGAAAAUCUUUAUCCCUUCCUAAGAAAAGCGAGGUACAAGUUCAAUCUCUGAAGAUGAUGGAGGAAUAUAUCUACGCUUGAAUCCAUCUGGAGUUACAACUUUACACCUCUCUCUUCAAAGUCCUCUUUCCCAAGACAGGCGCCCCUUUCUAGGGUCAUUCAUUCUAAAAUCUAUGUGUAAUUCCAGCCUAUUUGAACUGGAAUAGGAGUAAUCAACCAAAUCAGUGUUGUUUUCAACAGUAAGCUCUAAAGAUG
rnacentral:lncRNA from 10 species